ACCUGGGUGGCUUAGUCGCUGAAGCAUCCGACUUCAACUCAGGUCACGAUCUCGUGGUUCGUGGGUUCAAGCCCCACGCCGGGCU
rnacentral:tRNA from 1 species